rnacentral:rRNA from 1 species
UACGUAGGGGGCAAGCGUUAUCCGGAUUUACUGGGUGUAAAGGGAGCGUAGACGGCAGAGCAAGUCUGAAGUGAAAGCCCGCGGCCCAACUGCGGGACUGCUUUGGAAACUGCCCGGCUAGAGUGCUGGAGAGGUAAACGGAAUUCCUAGUGUAGCGGUGAAAUGCGUAGAUAUUAGGAGGAACACCAGUGGCGAAGGCGGCUUACUGGACUGUAACUGACGUUGAGGCUCGAAAGCGUGGGGAGCAAACAGG